rnacentral:tRNA from 1 species
GCUCCAUUAGCAUAGAGGUUAGUGCAUUCGGCUUUCUACCGAACGACAAGGGGUUCGAUUCCCUUAUGGAGUACAA